AGCGCAAGCGCACGCGCACACAUGCACAUGCACUGGCGCUGGCCCAGAGACCCUCCCCAAGCCUGGGCUGGCAGCGCGCCUUGCAGGCCAAGGGGCGAGCUCCCGGGCAGAGGAUGCGAGGAGGGCGCAGGCCACGGCUGGGCUGCAGCCCCGGAGGGAGGGUGGGUGCUGGGCGGGGUGAGGUGCUGGGUCCUGGCCCGCGCGCUCUGGGUGCCGCGAGCGCGCAGGUAGCGGAGCCCCGCGCCCCAGCCCCGCCGGUGAUGACCCCGCGCCAGCAGCUGUCUCGGCGCGGCGACGGCGCCUCUAAUUGAUCUCAUUAUCUCCCCCUCGGAAGGUGAAGUGCGGCCGCCGGCGGGGCGGCCCGGCUGGCAGGCGGCGGGCCGGCGGGGGCAGCGCUCGGCCGCGCGGGCGCGCCGCCAACGAACGCAGGCGGCGGCUCUGCUUUGCGAACAGUGAUGUCGCCGUCCGGCACCCCGGGCCUAGGCGGCGUCUUCGCCGUGAGUUCCUUUGUCACUCCCGCCGUCCUUGAAAGAGAUGAGAAGCUUUGCCCGAAGAAUCUGAAAGUUACGUUCGAGCCAGUCACCAAAGAAACUCCUGAAUUGGUUUCCUCCUAAACGACUGCUCAAGAAUUACAGAUGGGGGCCAGGUAAAUAAUAUUCAAUUACACGUGCACACAUUUUCAUAGGGGAACCUAAGAUAAUAUGGUACCGGGAGAAAACACUAUCAUAAUUCAUCCCUUUGUCAUUUGUGGGAGACUUUUUCCUCUUCCUUCAUAAUAUCUAUUUAUCAGGACGAAGCACCAGCCAGUCAUAACGGCACCCUGGGACCAUGAUACAGCCUCUGGGGCUGCCCCAUCCCAGAUGAGUCAGACCCAGUCGGAUACAGCUUCAGUUUGAUCCUGUACAAUUAAUGCAUUCAUGUUCAGUUUGCAAAAAUAAAAUACCAGCCCUGUGCUUCCAUUCCGAACAUCAGAAAAGUGUUAAAUUUAUAAAUAAGAGAUCAAAAUCCUUUAGCGGGCAGAAACAAUAUCUUCAAACUAAAUGCGUGGUUCCACCAUUUAGACAUAUUUUUAACAAUCUUAAUCCCACUUAAACUUUGCGAAAACUCUAUUGAAAAUUUAACCUUGUGCUCUUGAAGCUGAAACUGAUAAAACUUAAUAGCAACAAGGCAGUGAAACACUAAUAAACUCAUUAUAGAUCACAUAAAUGGGAGCCUGCGUGGCUGCCAGACAGCACACGUAAGCAGCUUCGGGUGCAAAUAGCAAAGGCAGGCAAGGUGGCGCGGAUGUCUGUGUGGACAGUUGGAGGGAGAGGAUUCAGUAACGCUUCACAAUAAGUUUGCUAAAUUUACUUGAUUAGGCAGUUCAUUUAGAAAUUUCAGAUGCUAAUUAUAGGUGGAUGCAGACAAGCUGGUAUGGAAGCAUGAGUUUCCUGAGGCCUCAGAGCCACAUCAGGGCCCGCUCUUGCAGAAUGGAUUCCGAGCGCUCAAAGCCCUUUCCAUGUGACCCCCCUGCCCCCAAGGCUGAGGGGCUGAGGAAGCACCUGCAACCAGGCCCCCUCCCUGGGACCCCGCGGGCCUCCCCCAGCAGGAUCCACAGAAUCACCCCCAGAGUCGGGGAGCACCGGAGGCUGCACCCUAAGGUCUACUUGCCGAAUUCUGACACGUGUUCAGUUGGGCUCACGUGGCAAUUUAAGAACAUGUAAGAGUUGUCAACUUGCAAAAACUGGCUGAGCUCCAUAUGGAAAUCCAGAUUGCUGACUUCCCUUUAAAAAUCCAAAGGUCUAGCAGCACCAGACCCACAGUCCCAUGGGCAACCACCAGGCCAUGUGUUCUCCAGGUGGUCACAUCCUCAUUCAUGGAUGGAGAUGCUCUUGUCCCUGCAGCAUUAGAGUUUUGCAGCCCUGGUCUGUACCAUUCAGAGGCUGCUGGUCAGAGGAAAGGGAAGACAUGGUCAAGAGAAGCUACACCAAAGGAAAGUUGGAGGGUGGACAGGAAGACUAAGACUUCAUGUUCCAGGCCCCACCCCACCAAGCUCAACCAACACGUAGCUGCUGAAGCCAGUUCUGCCCAUGCAAGUCCCUCUUUGCAGAGGGUCAGGAAGUCCAUCUUCCCUCCCUGCCACCACGAGAAGAAUCUGUAAACCCUGGAGGCACGGCAGUAGGAGAGGGAAAUGGAGGCUCUGCCUUUGAGUUGCUCCAAGCCUAGGUCAGGAGACCAGACAUGAAGAUCAGACAACCGGAAACCAGGCAAAUGGUCAAAGAUGGAAGGUCGAACCCUGUAGGAAGACUUGAACAGCCAUUAGGAGUCACCACUCUUAGCCUGGGGAGAGCCGACCACAACGCUGGGACAAGAGGGACCAGCAGGAAGGACUGAGACCAGGAAAGGAGGAAAAGGGGGAAGGAGAGAUGGAGGUGGUAGGCGAGCCCAGUAAAAUGGGAGACUCCACACGUGCUUGUCACUCGCCGUGAUCGGUGGUGCCAGGAGCCAGGGUCAGAGCCACGGUCCAGAGUUUGCUCACCCCUUGUCUGUUCUAGACUCUUGAUACUCACUGCACAGCAGGACCAGCGUCAUUGGCACUUCCUGGGCUCUGGUUAAAAACAAGCAGUGUGGACUCCACCCCAGAACUCCCAAAUCAAAUACAUAUUCUAAGCGCUCAUCUAUCCACCUGGUAGGAAGAGCUGAAGGGGCCACCGCAGGCUCCCCUGCCGUGCCCUGGGCCGUGCCAUGUGAGGGGCAUGCAAGUCUCACGACUCGAAGGUGCCUUUCUAGUGGGGACAUGCUGCCAGUCCAUCCACCUGGAUGAUGUUCAUUUAGACUAUCAAUAAAUAUGGCUUCAGUAGUCAGAUGAUAUUUAAUUAGCAUUAAACUCUUUUAUUUCAUGUAAGUUAGAGCCUUGCCUGAAACACUUCAUUUGGAAAGUAACCUGGCACUCAAGAUUAAAAUGACAUAUUAGCAUGUCAGCGGUAGCCUCAUCAUGGUGUGCUCCCCUUCGGCUGCCAACCCUGCAGGGGAGCGACACGAUGUUGCUUCCCAAUUCCCCAGCAGAAGGGAUGUGACACAGGGGCUCUCAGAGGUGAGGGGCUGGGUGUUCUUACAUGGCAAAGGGGCUGUAGCCCCCAGGAAGUGUGAAAUGGAAACACUUAUCCUUGUCAAAGUUGGAAGCAACUUUUCAUCCUUCUAUCUGAAUUUUCUUUCUGUGCCUCAAAGCCAUCAAGUCCACCCCUGCCUCCGGGCCUUUCCAUGAGCCGUGUCUCUGUCCAAGUCCUGCUGCAUCCUCACAGGGCUCUGACUUGCUCUUCAGAACUCUGACUCAAUGUCACCUCCCCAGAGGGGACUUCUCUGAUCUCUCAGUCUCAGCUAUGGCUGGCCUCUUGGCUUCAUAUCCCUCCAUUUUAAUACUCUGUAUAACAUGUGUCCCUACAGAUAACUUUCUGGUUUCUUCAUCUAUUUGUCUGUCUAUUGCCUCUCUCCUCCAACUAGAAUGCCCUGCAUGAGGGCAGGGACCUUGACUGUUUUGUUCUCUGCUAUAUUCCUAGGGCCUAAAACAGUGCCUGGCUCAUCACAUAGGAUUAAAGAAAGAAGGGAAGGAGGGAGGGAAAAUAGAUGAUAGGUAGGUAGGUAGAUACAUAGAUUGUAGAUACAUAGACACAGAUGAUAGAUAGAUGAUAGGCAGAAGGAUAAAUAGAUAAGAGAUGGUUGGAUGGAUAGGUAUAUGAUGGAUGAAUGGACAGAUAAUAGAAGAUGACAGAUUAUGGAUAGAAGAUAG